CCUACGGGAGGCAGCAGUGGGGAAUUUUGGACAAUGGGCGAAAGCCUGAUCCAGCAAUGCCGCGUGUGGGAAGAAGGCCUUCGGGUUGUAAACCACUUUUGUACGGAACGAAACGGCUCGCUUUAAUACAGCGGGCUAAUGACGGUACCGUAAGAAUAAGCACCGGCUAACUACGUGCCAGCAGCCGCGGUAAUACGUAGGGUGCGAGCGUUAAUCGGAAUUACUGGGCGUAAAGCGUGCGCAGGCGGUUAUAUAAGACAGUUGUGAAAUCCCCGGGCUCAACCUGGGAAUUGCAUCUGUGACUGUAUAGCUAGAGUACGGUAGAGGGGGAUGGAAUUCCGCGUGUAGCAGUGAAAUGCGUAGAUAUGCGGAGGAACACCGAUGGCGAAGGCAAUCCCCUGGACCUGUACUGACGCUCAUGCACGAAAGCGUGGGGAGCAAACAGGAUUAGAUACCCUGGUAGUCCACGCCCUAAACGAUGUCAACUGGUUGUUGGGUGCAUUAGUACUCAGUACGAAGCUAACGCGUGAAGUUGACCGCCUGGGGAGUACGGCCGCAAGGUUGAAACUUAAAUGAAUUGACGGCUGAGAGNGCGAGACGACGACGAGGGAGGAGG
rnacentral:rRNA from 1 species